GGCUGGGCUGGGCAGGCAGUACGAGAUUGGGCUCCGCAGGCAGCAAGAUCUGCGCUCGGCCACUCUACAAGAAGUAACUGGCUAGAGGGGAGCAUAGUGCGCUUCCCUCCAGCCGGACAGCCUGACAUUGCGCCCCCAGAGCUGUUGCGCCCUAAGGCAGCUGACAGGGCCGCCUUAUGGUAGUGCCGGCCCUGUUAGGAAUACACAUUUGUAUUCCUUAGCGCUAUAGUGUUCCUUU